UACGGGGGGGGCAAGCGUUGUUCGGAAUUACUGGGCGUAAAGGGCUCGUAGGCGGCCAACUAAGUCAGACGUGAAAUCCCCAGGCUCAACCUGGGAACUGCGUCUGAUACUGGAUGGCUUGAAUCCGGGAGAGGGAUGCAGAAUUCCAGGUGUAGCGGUGAAAUGCGUAGAUAUCGUCUGGAACGCCAAAGGUGAAAACAGACUGCUGGGAGUGUGCUGACGCUGAGACACGAAAGCCAGGGGAGCAAACGGG
rnacentral:rRNA from 1 species